UUCAUGGAGAACUCCUCUGCCUUAUAUAAACUAUGUCUUCUUGUUCACAGAGUAACAUCUUUUGCUUAUAUAAUGCACGUAAGUCACACAAUUUAUACUGGGCUUCAUGCUUCACUUCCUAGGAUUCUCAUCUCUUUUGUUUCCAAGUGAGGCUACAAGUUUGUUUGCUUUUUGGUUAGUUAGGCUUAAAAUUAUGAAACUACUAAGACUCCCUGUUUAUACAGGCCUGUCUUUGGGUUAAGUGUUCCGUUUCAGGAAAACACACAGCUAGCUGCAAGUACCCAUCACAAACUGCAGAAAGCAUAGGAGUAUCCCUGCUGUCCUCAGAUGAACACCUGCUCUUCAUUGCUCUACUCCUCUGAAGUGUUCCAAGGUUGUCAGGGUCUCUCAGUGAAGAAGGUGGUUCUGUUCUGCUUACAAACUAAGAACAUGAGUCAAUUCUUCAGAGUUGUAUUUCUGAGAAGACUGCUUUGAAAUGGCAAAUAUCAUCCUAACUGAAAUCCUCUUACCUGCUACUGGAUUUGUCAAGCCAAUCCACUCUGAGUGUGCUGGCAGGAGAAGGGGUACCACUGUUGCCUGUGGAGAGGAGUCCAUUUAACUCCAACUAGAGGAGGGUAUGAAUAGAUGCUCCGUAAGGACAGAAGGGAUUGUUUGACAUCUGUUGUGUACAGCAGUUAGCAUACAGAAACAAUAACCAUAACCAGAGUCUGCCUGGCCUUUACUUCAGUGUAAGGAUAUUGGAAAACUCACUGGAAUUGUUUCCGCCUGGUUGCCUGCAAAAUGGGAUAACUUUCAAGAUAUUUUCCAAGAAGGGAAAAUGAUUAAUCAAAAUGAAAGGGUGACUUAUUUAAACUAUUCCGGAAAUUUUCAGAUUUUUGGUUCAAGUUUGCAUAAUUUUGUUUUGAAUUCUCUUUUCCAUCAUGUUUCCAUAAAUGUGUCCAUCAGAGAUGUACAAGGACCUGCUGACAGAGUGCAAAUGUAGCACAGAAGAUGGCAGAUGUAGCCUCACCAUGGCACCUGCGGUCAGUAGCUUGCACCUUCCCUGUUUUGAAAUGAGCAGAGACAUUCAGAGUGACAUGAAGUGUUUCAAAACUUCCUUCUGUGUUUGCAUUGAGGUUUUGAAAUCAAAAAGAUGCUGAGGCCAGUGAGAGAAGAGCACUGUUUGUUGGGAACUAUCGUGUAAGACUAUUGUGUUCCACGGUGAUGUGUUAGGAAAAUAUGCAUGAUAUAUGUGAGAAUCCCCAUUUCUAGCAAACAUGUUCUGCUGCACACAAGUAUUAGCUCUGACGUUUACUGCUCAAUCAGUUAGAACACUAGUAGGCCAUAGGCUGGUUUCGUAGGGAUGUCAGAGCUGUUGCUCCAGUGUCAUGAAGGCCUACACUAGCUUACAUAUUUAGUCUAAAUGCCAAAUAAACCAAUCACUUCCAAAAAGAUGAGACUGAGUGUGUAGCUGUGGCUUUGUUUUAAGAAAGAAAAGGUGCAUAGAAUAAUCAAGGUCUCUUGGAAAAUGGCCUUGCACUUGAAUGCAAACAAAUGGAUGCAUCUGGAAACAAAAAGAGCUGCACCAUGCCUUGUGGUGUGAGAAGGGGUGACACAUGUCCUGGAGGGCAGUGAUUCUGCAGAAGAUUUCAGAUCGGGGGCCAAGUAGCUUCGGAGUCCUUCCCAGGCUGGUAUUGUGGCCAAAAGGAUUAAGGCAGCCUUUGAAUGU